AACUCUGUAAUAGCAGUCUGAAACCCACUUUUGAGUUUCUGACUUUUAAUCAGGUGGUCGCAGGUUCGAUCCCUGCACGGA
rnacentral:tRNA from 2 species